rnacentral:rRNA from 1 species
UAAGUCUGUAGUAAAAGGCGGCAGCUCAACUGUCGUAGGCUAUGGAAACUGUCUAACUAUAGUGCAGAAGAGGGCGAUGGAACUCCAUGUGUAGCGGUAAAAUGCGUAGAUAUAUGGAAGAACACCAGUGGCGAAGGCGGUCGCCUGGUCUGUAACUGACGCUGAAGCACGAAAGCGUGGGGAGCAAAUAGGAUUAGAUACCCUAGUAGUCCACGCCGUAAACGAUGAGAACUAAGUGUUGGGGGAAUAACUCAGUGCUGCAGUUAACGCAAUAAGUUCUCCGCCUGGGGAGUAUGCACGCAAGUGUGAAACUCAAAGGAAUUGACGGGGGCCCGCACAAGCGGUGGAGUAUGUGGUUUAAUUCGAAGCAACGCGAAGAACCUUACCAGGCCUUGACAUCCCCGGCGAAGACAUGGAGACAUGUCGGAGGUUAACCGGGAGACAGGUGGUGCAUGGUUGUCGUCAGCUCGUGUCGUGAGAUGUUGGGUUAAGUCCCGCAACGAGCGCAACCCUUGUGAUAUGUUACUAACAGUAAGAUGAGGACUCAUAUCAGACUGCCGGUGACAAACCGGAGGAAGGUGGGGAUGACGUCAAAUCAUCAUGCCCCUUAUGGCCUGGGCUACACACGUACUACAAUGGCGGCUACAAAGAGCGGCGAACCCGCGAGGGGGAGCGAAUCUCAUAAAGGUCGUCUCAGUUCGGAUUGAAGUCUGCAACCCGACUUCAUGAAGUUGGAAUCGCUAGUAAUCGCGAAUCAGCAUGUCGCGGUGAAUACGUUCUCGGGCCUUGUACACACCGCCCGUCAAACCAUGGGAGUUGGUAAUACCCGAAGCCGGUGGCAUAACCGCAAGGAGGAACCGUCGAAGGAGAUC